rnacentral:tRNA from 1 species
CCUGUAGCUCAGUGGACAGAGCAGCUGACUUCGGAUCAGCGGGUCGUAGGUUCGAAUCCUACCAG